UAUUCUGCCCCACGGGGAAGGAUGAGAAGCUUCGACUAAGGUUCGACUCGAGCGCAGCGAGAGAACGUUGCCACAGGCAAUGGCCCGAAGGGCGAGGAGAGAUAGCGACGAGUUAUCCUUCCCCCACCACCA
rnacentral:sRNA from 1 species